rnacentral:rRNA from 1 species
GGCUCAGGAUGAACGCUGGCGGCGUGCUUAACACAUGCAAGUCGAACGGAGCACCCAUGACGGAGUUUCGGACAACUGAAUGGACUGCUAGUGGCGGACGGGUGAGUAACGCGUGAGGAACCUGCCUUGGAGAGGGGGAUAACACGGUGAAAAUCGUGCUAAUACCGCAUGAUGCAGUUGAGUCGCAUGGCUCUGACUGCCAAAGAUCCGUCGCUCUGAGAUGGCCUCGCGUCUGAUUAGCUAGUUGGUGAGGUAACGGCCCACCAAGGCGACGAUCAGUAGCCGGACUGAGAGGUCGACCGGCCACAUUGGGACUGAGACACGGCCCAGACUCCUACGGGAGGCAGCAGUGGGGAAUAUUGGGCAAUGGGCGCAAGCCUGACCCAGCAACGCCGCGUGAAGGAGGAAGGCUCUCGGGUUGUAAACUUCUUUUAAGAGGGACGAAGAAGAUGACGGUACCUCUUGAAUAAGCCACGGCUAACUACGUGCCAGCAGCCGC